rfam:Macaca mulatta chromosome 15, whole genome shotgun sequence.
AUCUGCCAUCCAUUACUUUUUUUUUUUCCCUCUGAUCUCAGAAGUUAAGUAGGGUCGGGCCUGGUUAGUACUUGGAUGAGAGACCGCCUGGAAAUACUAGGUGCUGUAGAUU